GUCUUUAGAUGCGAGGGCAAAAUAGCACUUUAUGGACUUCCACAGAGGACAUCAUGUUUAAUACGGUUCCGGAAAAAUCCAGUCAGAAGUUCUUCACGGAGUUUUCACAAUAACUGCUUCUCAUGAACCGAAGCUGCGCGACGUCUGAGUUGGAUUACCGUGCACUUCUGGAUCACAGGCUAUUCGCAGCUGGACACAUCCUUCUAACUAACACUGUAUGCAAACAUGCAACAUCAUAACACAUAGUACAAGGAGUCAGACUGGCAUAUGAGGAGCAAAGGAACCCACGCAGUAGCAUCGUUUCAAAAUGUUUCCAUCACCAUCAUCAGUGGAUGCCUUUGCCGUCCGUACCCUGAGAUUUCAGAUUUGCUGCAAAAAAUGUGACUUUCCCAUUUAUUGGAAUGCUGUGCAGCCAUCCAUUACAAUGUCACCAAGCCGUAACAAAAGCAGGAGAGGGAAAGUACAAGGCUAUGUUCCCAAAACACAAAAGUGACAUACUAAGCAUUAUGUGGAUGAUGUGAUCAGGCUUGUGUUUGCUGAGGUAUUUGAAGAUAAGCUGAAGGAAACCCCGAUUCCAAUGGACCUG